rnacentral:rRNA from 1 species
CCCUUAGAUGUCCUGGGCCGCACGCGCGUUACACUGAUGCAUUCAACGAGCUUAUAACCUUGGCCGAGAGGCCUGGGCAAUCUUGUUAACGUGCAUCGUGAUAGGGAUAGAUUAUUGAAAUUAUUAAUCUUGAACGAGGAAUUCCUAGUAAGCGCGAGUCAUCAGCUCGUGCUGAUUACGUCCCUGCCCUUUGUACACACCGCCCGUCGCUCCUACCGAUUGAGUGUUCCGGUGAAUAAUUCGGACUGCGGCUGAUUGGGGACUCUUCAGUCGGCUGUGGAAAGUCUAGUGAACCUUAACACUUAGAGGAAGGAGAAGUCGUAACA